rnacentral:lncRNA from 1 species
AACCUCUAGUGCUGGCCACUGAAUUCAAUAAAUAAUUAUAAUAACAGCAAGCACAUACGUAAUUUUAAACACUGACGUACAAACUCAUUUAAUCUUCAAAAUAGUCCUGAAGGGUAGGUACUGUUACUCCUUCCAUCUUUACAGAUCAUGAAGUUGAGGCAUUGAGAAGCUAUGUAACUUGUCCAGGGGCCCAUUACUGGUAAUUGGCUGAGCCAGGAUUUGAACUUAGGCACUUAGAUUUAAGGGUCUUUACUCCUGAUCUCAUUAAAAUCCAAAGACACCAGUAAGGAGGUCCCUAGACUUGAGGAAACACAAUAUGUGUCUAAAUAUUGAAGGCUAUUUAUUCUGUGUCAUAUGAAGCUUUGAAUUUAAGAAAUUUCAGACCAGUGUUAUGAUAGACAUCAGAAAUCUAUUUAAUGUCUCUUUUGUUGCCCAUGCAUAGUUGCGGACAAGGCUUCACAGAGGUGACAUCUGAGACUUGAGCCAGGACUUAAAGGAUGCUCAAGUGCUCCACAGGCAGAGAAGAGCAUUGAAGAUAGAGGGAACAGAUGCAAAGGCUCAGAGAGGUGAAAUGGCAUUUGACAUGCAUAUUUGAAGGACAAUAUGAUGUUCCCUAUACCUAAAGGAGGACACGAGGAGAGAAAAGUAAGAUGCACUUGACGAUUGCAGAUUGUACCCUGCUGAGCAGUUUAAAAAUUGUCCUCUUAGUCACCUUUUUAAAAUCAAGGGCUCACAAAUUUUGGUAUCUAAUUUCAGAGGGUUCCCAGGUGCUCUAAAGCUCAACUGUAGGUCUGUAGACCCCUCUCCCUCAAGCAGCAGAGAAUAAUUGAGAAUAGAGAACACUACGAUCCAAUGUGUGUUUUAAGAAAGAUGACUCUGAUGACCCUGAGAGAUGGCCUGGAGGAGAGAAUGAUUGGAAACAGAGAAAUCAGGAGGCAGAUAUAAAUAAUCUAGGCCAGUGAUCGCUGAGAUGGCAAAAAGAGAGCAAUGACUAUGAAAGAUAUAUCGGAGAUAGGAGCGAGAGGACCCAGAGUGACUUAAAUGGGAAAGUUGCACAUAAAAUAAUUGAAACGAGGUGUCUUUUCUAAUUUAGUUUAAGGAUAGAUGGUGAUGUCAUUAACUAAGACAGAGGACGAAGAGAGGAGAGGAGCAAAGGUGGAGAGAUGAUGGCCUGAUUUUUAGAACCACAGAGCUUUGGGUGCCCAUGAACUCUUCCAGUGGUUGAAAAUGCAAUCUGGAAAAGAACUCAGCCUUGGAGAGAGAGAGAGAGAGAGAGAUUUGGCUGUCUCUGCAAAUGGGAGGUUUAAGCCCUCUGGGUGAGUCAGGGCCACCAGGGAGCCUAGAAGGAGAAGACAAGGGCAGAGGAGGCAUAUCCGGUAAAGCUGGAUGGGAAGGCGAGACUCAGGGGAGCAGCAGCGUUAUACUGCAUUUUACACAUGAGGAACCUGAGGCACAGAGAGGUCAGUCAUUUGCGCCAAGUCACAGAGCUGGUAAAAAUCACUUUCAAUGGUAAAUUAGUGGUAACCUCAUGAUAGUAUUAUGAGUCUUUGUUAUAACUCUUUUAUAGAUUUUGUUAUAACUCUUUUUGUUAUAAAUUUUAUAGAUUUAAAUAUAGAUUGGUAAGCUUUAAUGACAGUAGUUCCUUAUUCACUGAACGACCCCCCCCAUCAAGUAAGUAUAGUAUGCUUAUCAGAAUUCAUGAAGAAAAUAUGAUCUGAGACUUUCAUACAUUUCCAAAUUCCCUGGCUUUUUCUCGCAUGAGUAUUCUGUCAAGAUUCAUGCAUUUCUUCAACAUAUUUUCAUUUAAUAGGUUACAUUUUCCCUGACGUUUUCUCCCAACUAAUAAGCAUUUUUGGCAUUAAUUGGAGCACUUCCUGAAAUGGUUGCAUGAGUCAUAUUUUCGUAUUUCCUCUUGGAAUAUCUGUUGGAUUCUCUUAACAGUGAUCUAAGACAUCCCCAAACUCUAUAUUCUUGUUUUAAUUUACCCCAGACUUUUCUUGUCUCCUUGAAUCCAUCCAUUUCUUAGAACCUCUUCAUUUUGUUUUCCCUUUUAUCACUACACCAGCAGAGAUUUUCCUUGAAGCCCAUUUUCUCAGUUAUUUUGUUAUUACUUCAUCAGAGUUAUACACACCAAGGAGGAAAGAACAAUGAAACCACACCAGGUUGCCACAGUUGGGCUGUCUCUUAGGCUGGGGUCAGCAAACUACAGUCCAUGGGCCAAAUGGAAGCCACCACAUUUUUGUAAAGUUUUAUUGGGGCACAGACAGACUCAUUCAUUUACACAUUGUCUGUGGCUGCUUUCCUGCUAAAAGGGCAGAGUUGAGUAGUUGCAUUAAGUGGAAUACAGCAUGACCCACAUAACCUAAAAUGUUUACUGAUUUGACCCCUCACAAAGAAAGUGCUGACUCUUGCUUUAUAGCCUACAGCUUUGGGAAUAUUAGGAUAUUGCCAAAGCACAUUUAUAGUGCUUUAGUUAAGGAGGGUUUUUUUAAAAAGCAAAAUUUUAAAUAAAAUCUUACUCAACUGAAUAAUAGAACUGUUGAGUGGUUUCUGUAAUAUUUGUUCUUUGGAUCUAAACAGAAAUUGUCAAGGGAGGAGUUCCUGUCAUGGCUUGGUGGUUAACGAACUCAAGUAGUAUCCAUGAGGACAAGGGUUCAAUCCCUGGCCUCCCUCAGUGGGUUAAGGAUCGGCAUUGCCGUGAGCUGUGGUGUAGGUCACAGAUGCAGUUCGGAUCCUGUGUGGCUGUGACUGUGGUGUAGGCCAGCAGCUACAGCUCUGAUUCAACCCCUAGCCUGGGAACUUCCAUAUGC